GUGGAUAACGUACCCCGAGGCCCGGCUCCCUCUGAAUGAGGGAGGGAGAUACCAAAAUACAGCUUGUCCGCAUAAGGCAUGGAAUCACAUGAGUCCUUCAGCUCCGCUGCGGCAACCUACUGCUAACAAUCGGAUGCACGGCGCAUUAACUGCCCGCCGUGGCAAGGGCCUACCUCCGCCCUGAGAGGGCGGACACCUGAAUUGGUGAUCGGCCACAUUGCAAAUGACAACCGGACCAAACUCCUACGAAAAUUCCCCAUUGGGAAUCUUCCUGACUGAACGCCACCCUGAGAAAGAAACGCCCCGUGAGUGUGUAAAGUUUUUUUAUGUCCAAGCUCUGUUGGUAGAAAAAAAUGCCUGAUAGAUGACCUGUUAUGCGUGUGACGCUCUCUAACCUUACAUGCCCGGCUAACUACGUGCCAGCAACCUCGGAACUACGUUCGUGGCUAUUGUUGUCCGAAUUUAUUGAGGCUAUUUCGAGUGAACGAUGUCUUUUCCCUCUGAUCUGACUGCCCACUGCUCUGCCGACUACGAACAUUGAAUGCUGGAAAACUUGAUUGCAUUCCACGAGAACGGAAUUCCAUGUGUAAUGUGCAAAUGAACACAUAUGUGCGAAGAACACCUCCUGCGACUGCACUUCUCUGCACUGUCAAUGACGCUGAGAGUCGACAGCGUGAGGUGCACAGAUGAUCAAAUCCCUAGACGAUGUC
rnacentral:rRNA from 1 species